CAGUAGCCGCGGUAAUACGUAGGUGGCAAGCGUUGUCCGGAAUUAUUGGGCGUAAAGGGCUCGCGGGCGGUUUCUUAAGUCUGAUGUGAAAGCCCCCGGCUCAACCGGGGAGGGUCAUUGGAAACUGGGAAACUUGAGUGCAGAAGAGGAGAGUGGAAUUCCACGUGUAGCGGUGAAAUGCGUAGAGAUGUGGAGGAACACCAGUGGCGAAGGCGACUCUCUGGUCUGUAACUGACGCUGAGGAGCGAAAGCGUGGGGAGCGAACAGGAUUAGAUACCCCGGUAGUCCCUGUCUCUUAUAC
rnacentral:rRNA from 1 species